AGUCUUCUUCUAUAAUUCCGCGUGUGCGACAUAUAUAUAUAUAUGCACACACAUAUAUUAGUAGUAAUUUGGUACAGUAAUGGAAAAACGGUGGUGGGGUUUCUUAUAAGAUAAGUGGCACUGCAGACUAACGAAUAUCGAAGCUAGAGGAUCAUCCGCAAGCCCAAGGAAAACGUUAAGAUGCUUGUGAAAGACUUUAAUCUCUCCGUUGCAGAACAAUGUUAUUCUUGGAUGGAAAAAAAUGGUUCUUCCCACAAGACGGCACUACCCUGUAAAUAGAAGAGGUCUUAUUGGAAGUUUUGAAGGACGGCUUGUUUUCUUAUUUUUAAAUUAACACUUGGAAAUGUCUGCUAGCUUAAUCUAUUCAGUAAAUAACACAAUUAAUUGUAAACAAAAUAUUACUCUCAUACUGGUGUAGGUGUCUUUUGAGACUAGAAGAAUGUCUGCUGUCAUAUUUUAAACAUA